GCAUUUCUUCUAUAAAUGUCCCUAGACUACCCUCUCAACCAGGGGGUCUGAGAGGGGCAAACAAUCUGGGUCGUUGGUUUGGUGCAGCACAGUAAAUUGAUCCUCCCGCUUUUCACUAGAACCGUCCGAUGUGGUAAGUUUUUCUGCACUGUCUUCUCUUUGAAACGGGCAAAUGACCUAUGGGACCGGUUGUGUGGGGAGCCCAUCGGUCAGAGGCAGCCACACCCGCUCGUCAAAGUCACCUUCUUUGUCCUACGCGCGUGGGGCAGUAAAACCUAGAUCGCGGGGCGCCCAAUCCGCUCAUCUCCUCUCCUCCCCAAUCCCUGGUUCUCCUCGUCCCCCUAUGGCUCUCGAGGGGCGGCGCUGGGCCGGAGGUGGAGGAGGCCGGCCGCGAGGUUCCAGGGUGCCGCUGCCUCGCCCGUCUGGCGCCCCGAGCUCUGCAAAUCGAAGCGGUGGCGGGAGGAGCUUCAAAUUGAAGCGGCGGACGACGGGGCGCGGGAGGAGCAGGAUCCUGGAGGUGGGUGGAGAAGACCGGUGGGCCGCCCCCGCAGGAGCACUCACAGAGGAGGCCGGCAGCGAUGCCUCGUCUUCUCUUCUUCCUCCACUCUCGGUGUCGUCUUCCAGCCAUUAAGGCCACCAUGGUCGAGCUCGAGCUCCCCUUCCCGUCGCCCUACAGGACUCCAAGAACGGAGGGUGAACGGCGAGCGAACGAGCGCUGGGUGGAGGAGAGAUUGGGGCGGCGCUGGCCAAGAGGAGGAGCUGCAGCCAUGGAAAGAUCGAUCGAUCGAUUUCUGUGCUUGGUGGAGCAGCUAGGAAGCAAACGGGAAGACACGAGAGAAGGUACUCGUGGUCUCCGCAUACGAGCGCGUGCAUCUGAUAGCAUGUACUAUUGCACUGUGAGGUCAUUUUCUCCCCAUCCUUUUCCCCUCUACUCACGGUCACUCUAUUGACAUGGAUGUUAGUAUAUUCAGUCUACUUUCACUGAUCGGCUCAGAUUAGAUGGGUGUUCUACUAAAAAAGGAUUGGUGAAUCUUUUAUCUAGCUCCAGAUUAGAUGGGUGUUCUACUAAAAAAGGAUUGGUGAAUCUUUUAUCUAGCUCUGCUUUGAUAAAAGAGAUUUAUUGUCUCAUACAUUUAUAUAUUCGCAUAUUUACAGUGCACUUCAAAUUUGUCUCAAAUUGUCUCAAAUAUUUAUACAUGGUCUCAACUUUAAAUUUUUGGUGUCAGUAUAAAAAACUGAGAGUAGUUUGUGCUAUUCUUAGGAGUAGAUUAGCCACACUCUAAAAAAAAGGAAUAGCAUUAGCAUGGGUUAAAGCAAGGUAUUACUGUAAUAAGUCAGUUUGCUAUGCCUUUGGGCAUGGACAUGAGUAUCUCCAGCCUACUUUCACCCCCCUGCUAAUUUUUGUAAUGUAUUAUGUAUGUCUCCGUCCUCAUUUAUAUUAUAUAACAAAGGUGAAAAGGAUGUGGGAGGGACGCAGCUCUCGCGCCCCCACAGUUGUCCCUUGGAUUGCGGUGCAUCGUGGAAAGCCACAAGAGCAGAGAAAAGCAGCAGAUCCACGACCUAGGAUUGUGGCUCACGAAGAUGAGGCACAAUAUCAUCUCCCUCUUCCCAUUGGCCUCAUCAGCUGAGCUCCUUCUUCCCACUCGUGGCAAGGCUGGUGGUCAAGCGGCAAGAGCCAACAGGUGAGAGCAUCAAGAGCCAACUGGGUCAUGAGCUGGGUCGGUGCAGAACAUCCGCCUAAUCUUGCCAUAUUUGGCCCUCUCAAGAAGAUUUGUUUUUUCUAUGCCUACAAGGCGGUUGAUGAAAUUCCAAGAAGGAUCUGGGGAUGGAUUGAUCUAGGCAAGCCAUGUGAUUUACAGCCAGCUUCAGCAACUUCCCCGGUGUUCAAGAAAAAAAGGAGAAAUUGUAGUUCAGAUAACAGAGCUUUAUUGGUUUUAGCUGUUUGGGUUUUCGAAUUGUUCUAUGUCAUGCUGCCCUUUGCUAAUUGAGCAAUUGUUAUUGUUCAUGUUGUAGAUUUACAUAACUGAAACCCAUUUGCAAGCCAAGGUCUGAAAGUAUGAGAAUAGACCUGAGUGCUAUAUAGCCUGGUUGCUGCCAUAUCUAAUUUGGUUGCUGCCAUAUCUAAUUUGGUUGCUGCCAUAUCUAAUUUGGUGCGAAAAUGGUUUGCAGAUUCUAAUCACUUGCCUCGUGUUACUGAAGCCCCAAGACCAGAGGUCAUCACAUCAUUUUGUUCGUCCUCGUCGUCCUCUCUGCACCGGCAUCUGAGCCUCUUUCUCCCUCGCCUACGCCUCCCUGGGGAACUAUUUUGGUUUAAUCAUUUUAGAUAUUGACAAAUACAAUGGAAAUCCAUAAUGUGUGCUUUCUACACUUCAGAGAUAUGGACAAACUUUACGGCCUCUGAAGUUAUCAGUGCAAAAGACUACUGAAGGACUAGGUUCAUCUUCAUUCAUGGGUGUUGGUCUGCCUGGACUUCUUUUGAAGGAUGCAUCAGGAAAAAAAUAAUUCGCGGAGAAUUAGGAUGCUGAUAUCAUCCUUCGAUAACAGCUGCGGGAGGGGACAAGUUUGGUAGACGAUGGUGCCAUGAACUUGGAAACUUCUUCCCUGCUGUUCCAGUUGUGCUUGAUGCAGAACAAAGGUAACGACUAUAUCAGUAAAACAUCCCUAAUCCCUUCUUUGCAGAGUUAAAUGGUCAUAUAUAUCUAAUUUUUUUGCAUAUGUUUUGAGCACAUUGGUGAACCGUUUCACAGCUCAUUAUGUGUCUGCACUAGAAUUUGCAAGGUUUCUUAGCUGUGCACACUUGGUCCUUCAGCUGCGCGCAAACACCAUUCUUGCAUCAUAAAGGGCAUUUAGGUGUUCCGGUGUCAUGAACUCAUGAUGAGCUAUGGGGAUCCCAAAGAUGAAAACUUGAUCCUAGGAAUCUCAAAAGAAGGUGAGUUCCUACGAAAUACAUAAAUAAAUGUGAUUUUUGGGGUGCUUACACAUGUGAUUUACUCCUAAUUAUACUUAAGAAAGGCAAUGACGCAAGUCAUACUGUAACACCAUUACAUCUUAGUAAUGUAAUUCUGAGAAAUAUAUUUGCAACCAUGUUGUUGAAGCCCUGAUGGAUAUAUUAUACAUUAAUGUAUGACCUGGCAUUCACAUAUAUGAUCGUCUUUUUGGAAUGGUCAAUUGGUCAUGACUGAAAAGGUUGCUCAAAUUGUUGAUGGAUAUUUCCCCCUUGCUUUUUUUACUUGUAAUCCUAUUUUUGGUCAGUAUAAAUAUAUUGGAAGUUACAGUCUUAGUGGCCUGAUUGUAGGUCUAAUAUCUUGUGUGAACAAAUAAGUCAAAUGAUUUCUCUGUUUGUGUAAUUCCAAUUUUGGUAUGCAAGUAUGAUCAGGACCACUUGGUGUGGCCUACGCGCAUUUGUUCUUUGAUUCUUAGUGAGGAUCCUGCUAUAUUCUUAUUGAAGGAAAUGUCACUACUUCAAGUGUACUUAUUGUAUGUGUUGAUUGUACCAAAAAAAUAUGAUAUUUAUACACAUUUAUUUCUCUUUGCUAUGAACAAAUUGUUGGAUGCAACAAAUGUUGCUCCUGUGUUGUACAUAUGUUAUCUGUCUUUGAAAGUUUUUUUUUAUUUUCUUUUAAAAGGAUUGCUUAUACAAGCUUAAGGGCUGUCAAAGACAUACUGAAUUCUUGGAAAACUAAACAGACAUCAGUCGACUAAAACUUAUGUUUUUAUGUUCUUUAAAAAAUAUUGCCUAUAUGGGCUUAAGGGCUCUCAAAGACCUACUGAAUUCUUGGACAACUAAACAAACAUAAACAUCGUAAAACAUAUGGUUAUAGUAAUAUCUUGCAUUUGCCUGUGCGCCGGCCGCCGGGGUGCACCAGGUCAUCUAUGUUAGGUUCAAUGAACAAUUUGUGUUUGAUCAUGAAUUAACCCUUCGGAAUUUUAAGAUGCAGCAUAAUUUAUAAAUGGCACUCCGUCAAAUGCACAUUAUUGUACUACGGUACGUCCUUGAUUGAAUGUCCUGACAGAAUUAUUAACUUUCAUAUUUUGUGUGUAAUAAGACCUGCUUGUUGUGCUCACUAACUUAUGUUUCAGGUCCUCAUGCUACAUUAGGUGUUCUCGAGGAAAAAUACUGGUAUGACAGUGCCUUAAAAGUAUGUAUAUCUGUCAGUGUUAUAUAUGUAUAUCUGUCAGUGUUAUAUAUAUUACAAUUCAUACCUAAGUUGUGCAUGAACUGAUAUUUCUUCAGCAAAAGUUACCUGACGGUAUUUAUUACAGUGUAUUUAACAUAUAAGGAACCUGAGCACAAAAUCAAAUGGCUGAUAUGUAGCAUGCAUCUAAGGUUAGAUGUUUCCAUUUUUUAGUUCCAUAGAUGAGAAGACGUGACUCAGGACGUACUCCUUGGAGACGAGACAGCCGCAAGGCUGCUUCAACGCCGCCUGCAACCUUGGGCAGGCUGAUACUGCCACCAUCGCAGGGCGGCGUGCGCUUGAGAUUCCGUUCGAGAUCGAUCAGAUUCGACCGGAUUUUGUAGUCAGUCGAGUUGUAGUGUUCAGGAAUCAGAACUUGUAAGGUUGUUAAAUUUCAGAGAAGAUGUAAACUGGUAUGAGUUUCAGAAUUAUAUGGUCAUAUCCUCUAUU